GGUGAAAAAUCAUCGUGUUUCAUACGCUACACUAAGUUGUACGAGAAAACUUCAUCUUUUACCAAGCAAAGUUGGUCAACUUUUUUGAAGUUCACUGCACAAUGGUGGAAAUACGACUGCUGGCAAGGUGAAAUAGCUCGGAAGUUCGUACAAAACAUCGAUCUACCUGCCAGUGCCACUGUGGAUCAGCUGGCGCUGGCAGAGCUGCUCGCCGAACUCCCACUGCCACAGGCCGUGUAUCAUCGCUCAUGCUACUGCCAGUAUACUGAUGCAUCAAAGGUCAGGAGAGCUGCUGCAGCUAAGGAGUUGAGAGACAAAGAAGCAGG